AGAGUUGGUGGCUAGGGUUCCGAUCUUGCGUGCAAGGUGCUGGUCCAAGAGCCGCCCCCCGAAGGGAGAAAUCCUUCGGAUGCACGGCGGGACAAAAGCCCGGGAGGC
rnacentral:sRNA from 2 species